CGCAGAUGAUGUGGCGGAAUAUUUGCUAUCUGAGCGCAGUGACGACGUCGACACCACCAAGAUCGCUGAUGUG